GAUGAACGCUGGCGGCGUGCUUAAUACAUGCAAGUCGAGCGAACAGACGAGGCGCUUGCUCCUCUGACGUUAGCGGCGGACGGGUGUGUAACACGUGGAUAACCUACUUAUCAUACUGGGAUCUCUUCGGGAAACCGGCGCUAAUACCGGAUAAUAUAUUGAAGCGCAUGGUGCAUUAGUGAAUUACGGUGUUGCUGUCACUUAUAGAUGGAUCCGCGCCGCAUUAGCUAGUUGGUAAGGUAACGGCUUACCAAGGCAACGAUGCGUAGGCGACCUGAGAGAGUGAUCGGCCACAUGGGAGCUUGAACACGGACAAGAGUCCUAAGGGAGGCAGCAGUAGGGAAUCUGACGCAGUAGGCGAAAGCAUGACGGAGCAACGCCGCGUGAGUGAUGACGGUCUUCGGAGCGUAAAACUCUGUUAUGAGGGAAGAACAGAUGUGUAAGUAACUAUGCAGUUAGUGACGGUACCUAGUCAGAAAGCCACGGCUAACUACGUG
rnacentral:rRNA from 1 species